AUUGAACGCUGGCGGCAUGCUUUACACAUGCAAGUCGAACGGCAGCGCGGGCUUCGGCCUGGCGGCGAGUGGCGAACGGGUGAGUAAUACAUCGGAACGUGCCCAGUAGUGGGGAUAGCUCGGCGAAAGCCGGAUUAAUACCGCAUACGACCUGAGGGUGAAAGCGGGGGAUCUUCGGACCCCGCGCUAUUGGAGCGGCCGAUGGCAGAUUAGCUAGUUGGUGGGGUAAAGGCCUACCAAGGCGACGAUCUGUAGCUGGUCUGAGAGGACGACCAGCCACACUGGGACUGAGACACGGCCCAGACUCCUACGGGAGGCAGCAGUGGGGAAUUUUGGACAAUGGGCGAAAGCCUGAUCCAGCAAUGCCGCGUGUGUGAUGAAGGCCUUCGGGUUGUAAAGCACUUUUGGCGGGAACGAAAAGGACUGUGCCAAUACCACGGUUCGAUGACGGUACCCGCAGAAUAAGCACCGGCUAACUACGUG
rnacentral:rRNA from 1 species